GGAGGGAGUGACUGAGGGUAGGGAAAAGGAGAGGGAGGUAGAGGUGACAGAGAGACAAUGGGAUCAGCAGCUUCAAGGGGAGUAAGGAGAGAGUGAGAUUUUUGACCCCGCCAACAUGGGAAGGAUUGCCCUCCCGUAUGACGUCGUGACCCGACCCCCACUUGGACUAUAUAUAUAUAUAUAUAUAUAUAUAAUAUAACUAAAAUUCUCAUCUCGUUAUCUGCAGGUUUGCAUUGCACCUCUAUUUGCGCAAAAACGGUACAUGAUAGCGCUAUGAUUUUUGUCCUGCCUUAUUCACCAUUGUCCUGUGGUGUAGAUGAAACUAGUUUUGUGCAGAUUGAUGGUAUAUUUUAAAAGUUAUUGACGUUUAAAGGUUUGUGUUGUACCUCUAUUUGCGCAAAAACAGUACACGAUAGCGCUACAAUUUUUGCCCCACCUUGCUCAUUAUUGUCCUGUGGUGUAAAUGAAACAAGUUUUGUGCAGAUUGGUGGUGUAUUUUAAAAGUCAUUAACGUUUAAAAGUUUGUGUUGUACCUCUAUUUGCGCAGAAACAGUACACGAUAGCGCUACUAUAUUUGGCCCACCUUACGCACCAUUGUUCUGUGGUGUAAAUGAAACAAGUUUUGUUCAGGUUGUUGGUAUAUUUUAAAGGUUAUUAACGUUUAUAAAAA